rnacentral:lncRNA from 1 species
GGAGAGGAGCUGGAGAAGAUCAUGUUCUCAGUCAAAAAUCAAAGAGAAUCGAGCUAGAAAAAAUGAUUUUAAUUUGAAAGAAAAAAAUUGUUGAAAUUGCUGAUAGUGAAAAAAAAAGAGACCUACGUUUAUAGUAGUGGAGUUUUAACCACUUGAAGUAAGAAUUUUAAUCCCUAAAUUAGAUCUAAACUGAACCUUGAAUAAUUACUAUCAGAUUUAAUAUUUUGGUGAAUCAAAUUAUGAAUUUAAACCUGAUCUGGAGGAUGAAUUUCUGCUGCCAAGUUUACUAAAACUAGUCUAAAAUAUUUUAGCAAAUGGGUUGGAAUGUAUAUUGGCUGAAUUUAGGAUAAAUUAUGAAAAUAAAAUACAGUUGAAUUGCUGAAAUUUUUGAGUUUAUGUUGAGGUUUAGCUAAUACUAAAUAGGGUAAAACAGAAUAGAAUAAAAGUAAGAGUUAGAAGGGCUAAAGAAUAAGCAUAAAAUGCAAAGCAUGCAUUCUUAUAUUCAUAUAUCGUGUAAGUAUUGCAUUAAUAAGUGUGUACCAAUUUUAUAGGAGA